CAAAUGAAUGGCUAGAGAAUUACUAUUUGUAGAAAUAUUUAUAUGUCAAAGGGAUGCUAACAAUUUACUUUAUUGCUCUAAAAUAGAAAAGUUGCCAGAAUGCUGUGGAGUUUUAGUGGAAAACAUGAUAGCUGGUGUUACUGAGUAAAUUUGAGUGUUAAAUGUCAAUGUAAGCUAACGGCCAAGAUAGGGACCACUGCAGGGUGGUUACUUGCAGCUAUGACUCAACUGGUCCUUCACUGCCAAACAUACCUGGGGUUGGAUCAUUGGCCUGACGUUUGCAAAUUGAGGAACCUUAGGGCAAAUCAGUGAACUUCUGAACUGCCUUCGUCUUCAGUUAUAUGGGGAUUUCCCCACUUUUGAGAUACUUGUAAGGAUUAUAUGAGAUGAAGAGAUGAGACAAGGUAUAUAAAAGUCCUAGCACAGAGCGUGUCAUAUAAUAUGGCUUCACAAG
rnacentral:lncRNA from 10 species